rnacentral:rRNA from 1 species
AGCGAACGCUGGUGGCAGGCCUAACACAUGCAAGUCGAACGAAGUCUUCGGACUUAGUGGCGGACGGGUGAGUAACACGUGGGAACGUACCUUUUGGUUCGGAACAACUCAGGGAAACUUGAGCUAAUACCGGAUGAGCCCUUAGGGGGAAAGAUUUAUCGCCGAAAGAGCGGCCCGCGUUAGAUUAGCUAGUUGGUGAGGUAAAGGCUCACCAAGGCUACGAUCUAUAGCUGGUCUGAGAGGAUGAUCAGCCACACUGGGACUGAGACACGGCCCAGACUCCUACGGGAGGCAGCAGUGGGGAAUCUUGCGCAAUGGGCGAAAGCCUGACGCAGCCAUGCCGCGUGAAUGAUGAAGGUCUUAGGAUUGUAAAAUUCUUUUACCAGGGACGAUAGUGACGGUACCCGGAGAAGAAGCCCCGGCUAACUUCGUGCCAGCAGCCGCCGUAA